CCUACGGGCGGCAGCAGUGGGGGAUAUUGCACAAUGGGGGGAACCCUGAUGCAGCGACGCCGCGUGGGUGAAGAAGCGCCUCGGCGCGUAAAGCCCUGUCAGCAGGGAAGAAAAUGACGGUACCUGAAGAAGAAGCCCCGUCUAACUACGUGCCAGCCGCCGCGGUAACACGUAGGGGGCCAGCGUUAUCCGGAUUUACUGGGUGUAAAGGGGGCGCAGGCGGCGAUGCAAGCCAGGAGUGAAAGACCGGGGCCCAACCCCGGGACUGCGCUUGGAACUGCGUGGCUGGAGUGCUGGAGGGGGAGGCGGAAUUCGUGGUGUAGCGGUGAAAUGCGUAGAUAUCAGGAGGAACACCGGUGGCGAAGGCGGCCUGCUGGACUGCAACUGACGUUGAGGCCCGAAAGCGUGGGGAGCGAACAGGAUUAGAUACCCCAGUAGUC
rnacentral:rRNA from 1 species